AUUGAACGCUGGCGGCAUGCUUUACACAUGCAAGUCGAACGGUAACAGGUUAAGCUGACGAGUGGCGAACGGGUGAGUAAUGCAUCGGAACGCGCCCGAUCGUGGGGGAUAACGCAGCGAAAGCUGCGCUAAUACUGCAUACGAUCUGAGGACGAAAGCGGGGGACCGUAAGGCCUCGCGCGAUCGGAGCGGCCGAUGUCAGAUUAGGUAGUUGGUGGGGUAAAGGCUCACCAAGCCGACGAUCUGUAGCUGGUCUGAGAGGACGACCAGCCACACUGGGACUGAGACACGGCCCAGACUCCUACGGGAGGCAGCAGUGGGGAAUUUUGGACAAUGGGCGAAAGCCUGAUCCAGCAAUGCCGCGUGCAGGAAGAAGGCCUUCGGGCUGUAAACUGCUUUUGUACGGAGCGAAAAGGCUCUCUCUAAUACAGGGGGCUCAUGACGGUACCGUAAGAAUAAGCACCGGCUAACUACGUGCCAGCCGCCGCCGUAA
rnacentral:rRNA from 1 species